AACAGACUAGAACCCUGUAAUGUUCAUGUUCCAGGUCUGAACCCAGGCGUUAGUGAAGGAAACAUCGAGUAGAAGUUCCAGAUAUUAAACAGUUUAACGCAUCCAGGCAGAACGUGAUUUAAUCAGAACCGUUUUAACUAAACAUUAAAAAACAUCCUGAAUCUGUUGACCUGAAAGGAAGAAAAUUUACAGAAAUUAAAGUUCAUUGUGUCAAGUAAUAAGAGGAAGCAGAGGGAGUUCUGGAUGAUAGAACUGUUUAGAAUGUUUCCUGUUAGCGUGUUCAGGAUCAUGUGUUCAUGGUCAGCGUGUUUAGAGUUAGCGUGUUCAUGGUCAGUUAGCGUGUUCAUGGUCAGCGUGUUUAGAGUUAGCGUGUUCAGGGUCAGUUAGCGUGUUCAUGGUCAGCGUGUUUAGAGUUAGCGUGUUCAGGGUCAGUGUGUUUAGAGUUAGUGUAUUCAUACAUGUUUAGUUCUUAGAUAAACGUCUGGACGUUUCAACACGUCACUGAAAAGUCCACAGUUUACCUGAAAGCUUCGAAGCAUGAAUGAUGGAGUUUACUGCUGCUGCAGCUGGACCUUCUCAUGUUCUUGUUAGAACAUCUCGGUAGAUGUUCUAACAAGAACAUGUUAGACUCCUGAUGUUCGGACAAGAUGCUCCCUGAGCAGCUCACUGAUCCUGCUUCACGUUGUUCUUCUGUUUCAUGUUCAUGAACUAAACAUUGACUGAACAGAGAUGAAGAACCUGAUCUGGUUCCGUAGAGAACAUCUGAACAACCUCCACACUUCACUUGAAGUUUAAUCACAAGUCUUUGCUUCAUCACUGGAUCUCCUUUAUUUAAAAUGUUUGGUUGUUUUUUUUUAGAACUUUUUUCAUUUUGAAGUUGAGUCCAGGCAGGUUCCUGUCUGUUUACUGCUGAACCACUUUCAUGAUUGUUUUAAUAAAAUCUGCAAAAUGA